GAAAAUACCCUGGAAUGCAAGGAUGUGUUACUAAAGGUGUGAUAUUCCAAAAGAUGAAAAAAUCUUACAAUUAUGGAUCUCGGGUUGUUGUUUUUCAAAGAUGAAGAAGCCACAAGUGACCUGUGUGCCCUUUUGAUACCAAAGGACAAGGUCUCAGAAACCUUCCAUUUGUGCUCCUAGGGUGUGCCAUGCUAGUGAACUCUUCUACAGAAUAUCAGUACCAAAG